CCGCGAACGGCUCAUUAUAACAGCUAUAAUGUACUUGAUCUUGAUAGUCCCCUUACUUGGAUAACUGUGGUAAUUCUAGAGCUAAUACAUGCACCAAAGCUCCGACUAACGGACGAGCGCAUCUAUUAGACUAAAACCAAUCGGUGUGUGCUCGCACACACCGUCUUUUGGUGACUCUGAAUAGCUAUGGCUGAUCGCAUGGUCUUGUACCGGCGACGUAUCUAUCAAGUGUCUGCCUUAUCAACUUUCGAUGGUAGUUUAUGUGCCUACCAUGGUUGUAACGGGUAACGGAGAAUAAGGGUUCGACUCCGGAGAGGGAGCCUGAGAAACGGCUACCACAUCCAAGGAAGGCAGCAGGCGCGCAAAUUACCCACUCUCGGCAUGAGGAGGUAGUGACGAAAAAUAACGAGACCGUUCUCUUCGAGGCCGGUUAUCGGAAUGGGUACAAUUUAAACCCGUUAACGAGGAUCUAUGAGAGGGCAAGUCUGGUGCCAGCAGCCGCGGUAAUUCCAGCUCUCAAAGUGUAUAUCGUCAUUGCUGCGGUUAAAAAGCUCGUAGUUGGAUCUGCGCCUCAGGACCCGGUCCGUCCAUUGGACGUGAACUGGGCGCCUGGGCUAUACACUGUCGGUUUUCGCAGCGUUUCUUUCAUCGGACGCGCUGUGUGGCCGGCGAGUUUACCUUGAAAAAAUUAGAGUGCUCAAAGCGGGCCCACGCCUGAAUACUCGUGCAUGGAAUAAUGGAAUAGGA
rnacentral:rRNA from 1 species